UACGUAGGUGACAAGCGUUGUCCGGAUUUACUGGGCGUAAAGAGCGCGCAGGCGGUCGAUCAAGUCGAGUGUGAAAGCCCCCGGCUCAACUGGGGAGGGUCAUUCGAUACUGAUCGACUCGAAGGCAGGAGAGGGUAGUGGAAUUCCCGGUGUAGUGGUGAAAUGCGUAGAUAUCGGGAGGAACACCAGAGGCGAAGGCGGCGACCUGGACGAACACUGACACUCAACUGCGAAAGCGUGGGGAGCAAACAGG
rnacentral:rRNA from 1 species